GACGAACGCUGGCGGCGUGCUUAACACAUGCAAGUCGAACGAAGUGGCGAACGGGUGAGUAAUAAGUGGGUAACCUGCCCUCCUUUUUGGGCUAAGCCUUGGAGACGGGGUCUAAUACAGCAUAAAGGGGGAGGGGCUCGCGGCCUAGCAGCUUGUUGGUGGGGUGAUGGCCUACCCAGGCGGUGACGGGUAGCCGGCCUGAGAGGGUGACCGGCCACAUUGGGACUGAGGUACGGCCCAGACUCCUAAGGGAGGCAGCAGUGUGGGAUAUUGCACAAUGGGCGAAAGCCUGAUGCGGCGACGCCGCGUGGGGGAUGAAGGCUUUCGGGUUGUAAACCUCUUUCGCUAUCGAAGGGGUAGGGGGAGAAGAAGCGCCGGCUAACUACGUGCCAGCAGCCGCGGUAAUUC
rnacentral:rRNA from 1 species